AAGAGGAGGAAACAUUUAUAGAAAAUGAACGAAGUUCAUUUUCUAUAAAUGUUUCCGACGAAUAGCCGCCGACCGAAGGGAGGGGGCAAUACAUAUU
rnacentral:sRNA from 12 species